GGUGAGUAAUACAUCGGAACGUGUCCUGUAGNGGGGGAUAGCCCGGCGAAAGCCGGAUUAAUACCGCAUACGCUCUACGGAGGAAAGGGGGGGAUCUUAGGACCUCCCGCUACAGGGGCGGCCGAUGGCAGAUUAGCUAGUUGGUGGGGUAAAGGCCUACCAAGGCGACGAUCUGUAGCUGGUCUGANAGGACGACCAGCCACACUGGGACUGAGACACGGCCCAGACUCCUACGGGAGGCAGCAGUGGGGAAUUUUGGACAAUGGGGGAAACCCUGAUCCAGCAAUGCCGCGUGUGUGAAGAAGGCCUUCGGGUUGUAAAGCACUUUUGUCCGGAAAGAAAACCUCUGGGUUAAUACCCCGGGGGGAUGACGGUACCGGAAGAAUAANCACCGGCUAACUACNUGCCANCAGCCGCGGUAAUACNUANGGUGCAAGCGUUAAUCGGAAUUACUGGGCGUAAAGCGUGCGCAGGCGGUCCGCUAANACANAUGUGAAAUCCCCGGGCUUAACCUGGGAACUGCAUUUGUGACUG
rnacentral:rRNA from 1 species